UACGAAGGGGGCUAGCGUUGUUCGGAAUUACUGGGCGUAAAGCGCGCGUAGGCGGAUUGCUAAGUCAGGGGUGAAAUCCCGAGGCUCAACCUCGGAACUGCCUUUGAUACUGGCAAUCUUGAGUUCGGGAGAGGUGAGUGGAAUUCCUAGUGUAGAGGUGAAAUUCGUAGAUAUUAGGAAGAACACCAGUGGCGAAGGCGGCUCACUGGCCCGAUACUGACGCUGAGGUGAGAAAGUGUGGGGAGCAAACAGG
rnacentral:rRNA from 1 species